AACAGUAUUGCAGCAUCUUCUUAUAGAUGUUUUUAUUUGUCCUGCUGAAUGUGCUCAGAUUGUAUUUUCAGUGGAUGUUCUGAUUUAUAUUAGCCUUAUAAGAAAAAAAAAUUGUAUUGUAUUAUUGCUUGUUCAAACCUCCACAGUGCCACCUAUUGGCAAAUGUCAUUUUUAUUUGAUCUAUUUCCAGCACUGAAAUUCAGAGAGAUGUUACGUAGUAUUCUAGUUUUUUGUAGGUCCAGUAAUGAUGUUGUCUUUCUAAAAAGGCAAUCAUUUUGCCAGAAAAUAUGGAUUGCUUCUUCCUUAGUAACUAGAUCUGCUAAAAUAUCUACUGUAUGCCUGCAGUAGGUUAGUACAGUAGGAUUUACAUGUUUCAGAAUAAACUGUAUAAUAAAAAUAAUGUUACUUGAAUGGGCAGUCAGUGUAAAUAAUAGUAAGAAUAUAUGGCAGAAAAACUAAUCCAUAAAAGUAUUCAGUAUUCAGUAUGUCACAUUGUUAACGCUUUAAUUUUUUUCAUUCUUUUCAUUCAUUUUUUUCAUUUUUUUCAUUCGGUUCUGUGCUGUCACAUUUCUACUACAAACUCGCCCAAAAACAAAAUUGUUCUAGGUAACAGGUUAAACAGUUUGUUAGAUUAUUUCACUUACCUGGUUUAAAACAUUAAAGCCCAAGUUUUAUGACCGCAGAAAACAAUUGCUUUUGCCUAAAUAUAGCCCUUACAAGGAAACCAUCUUUAUAGUAUCAUAUCAUAUUUAUUCAACUUGUGCAGACUUGUGUCUGAAAUUCUUUAUAAGCAUGAAUAUUCUUGCCUCCUGUAUUUUUUAUUAUCAUCAUUAUUAUUAUAAUUAUAUACAGUGGUGGGCCAAGCCGACUGUGCUCCCCUCCAUGCUCUCCUCCAUGCAGUGAACAUGGACUAGGGGUAGGCAAAAAGUCAGUCCCCCUUUCGUUGCUCCCUAGUCAGGUGCCUCUUCUGCCUAACCCUAGUUCUGGCCCUGAUUAUAUAAAUAAUACUCUAAAGGGGUGGAUCUUGCUAAACUUAAGUAAAUAAUUCAGUGUUCUUGAGAGUGAUUACUGAUGGACAGUAGACAAAAAUUCUCCAAACAUAUGUUUUUUUUCUUUUUUUUCAGGGAGGAAAGCAGAUACCUGUUGUGAAUCAAGUUGAAACGCCAAUACAUGAAGAGAAGAGAACACAGCUUUUAAAGUCAUUGAGAUACACCAGAGGAAUAGACACAGGGAUGCUAAAUAAAGCACAGUUCUUUUCAACUUGUUCGUCAGGUUGUGUUCAUUUAUCAUGUCAACUCCCAUGAUGCCUGCACCAAGGCCUUGUAGCCAUAUGUGUUAGCACACCUGCUAUGUGUGUGAGAUCUGCACUGUAGAAUGUUCAAGUACAUACACCAUUCCUGUGUUUCAUUAAAUUAUGUAACAACUGACA